UAAGGAUCAAGACGAGUCCAGGGAAACCAUCCGUCCAAGGAAAAUGCAAGAUUCAACAAGCUUUGCUCCAUCAUUUUGGCAUUCUCAUACAUAUAAGGAAACCUUCCGAUUUUAAGUAUACGGUUAAAAUGAAGCUCGCUUGGACGUAUAAGCAUUAAGCCAGCAUUGAAAUAAGGAGUAUCUUCUGGAGGUAUACUAUGAUGCUCUCCUCUAUCAGAGACGGCUGCGAGAAGAUAAGGGUAAAAUUCGCUUCGACUGGCACCAUAUUCUUUAAAAUCCUCAUUGAAGUGAUAGACGGUAUCAUCAUCAGGCUUCGUGUAGGAAGGUAGCCGUGUAUAGUUCAAGGUAUUAAUUUGUUGGUACAUAUAAGGAGUAUCAAAUAUAUCAUCAAUGUUCUUCAUGAUCAAUAUAUCACUGUCAAUUACGCAAAUUUUGUCAAAUUGUAUUUGUUCGAAAAUUCGCAACUUCGAAAACAUUUGUUCAUAUCUAGCAGAUAUUUCUUGACUAAAUGAGGAUGUAUCGUAUACAAUAUCCGAUGAAGCAAUGGGGUCUAUAACAAUCACAGAAGCACCAUCCUUUCGAAAACGUUCAAUUUUCCACUCAUCUACUCCACGGAGUGCAAGGAUAUGGAUAGGGUAUUUACUUUUGGUAGUAGGAUGAUAUUUCAAUCGGUGAAUUAAAACCCUAGUAGCGUUGAA